GCUUGGGUGUGAACGGACUGACUUGCGAUGGCUUUGAGCCAGUUUAUGAACCACUUGCGCUUGGAUCAUUGAAGGUACUUGCGUGCCUUACCGUUUACGUCCUUACAACGUCUCCCACUACAGUGGCUGGACAAUUUGGAUGCGACUUGAUUACAGUCAUAUCCAGAAUAUUCGGCAAUGAGGCGUCUACAACACUAACUCCACUACUGUGUGCACUUCAAAAUGCGCUUAACCUCGAUUGCACUGGCAUCUCAUGCUGAAAUGAUCUCAAGGAAUUGUGCUUUAAUUGGGCCAUCCGCAACAAAAUGUAGCGUGGGUGCAAGUUGAGUUAAAGAGCACCCUAAUAAGUCGACCAAGAGAACGACCACAGAUACCUACGCAUAAAUCGGCGCACGCGCUUGUUUCUUCUUUGUGGGCUUGUUGUGUUCUGCUGCACAUUGGUACGAAGGAAUCUGGCAAACGAAUGUGCACAUUGAAAACCAUUUGAGAAGCUGAUAUAAAGAGAAAGGGCAAAAUAUGACAAGAAAAGACAAUUUGUUCUACCAUUUCUAGGUCUAUUAUCCCAUUUCUACCUUU